ACAUAGCAGUAGGUUUUACGGCUAGAAUUCUAUGACGCCAUUGAAGGAGUCUCUCUCCCAUUUUGUCUUCUUCAUUUCGAUCCUUUGCGCCGAAAUUCAAAUUCUGCGGACCGCAGCACCUGUAAGGCUGUAACAUAGCAUGGCGUACGUCUCCUUUUACCGAAACUAUGGGAUAAAAUUUCAAGAAGCCUUACGAGAAGGAGCUUUUUGAUGCUGAGCUAAGGCUUGUGGGAGAGUAUGACUCUAGUUUAAGAGGUUGUUGUGGAGGGCUCAUAGGCCCUUAGCCAUAUCCACAAUGCAGCAAGAAUGCUUCUUACCCUUGAUGAGAAGAACCCACGGAUAUUUUUUAAUGAGAAGCACUUUUUAGGAGGAUUAACAGGUAUAAUAGUCUCUUUGUAUGAGAGCUAGAAGAAUCUCGAUUACAUGCUGGUGCUUACUUUGUAGAACCUGCUUGAGCGCUCUCUUCAAACUCUCAUGUUCAAAUCUGGUGUGGCCAAGUCAACUCACAAUGCUAGAGCGCUCAUCGGGCAAAGACUUAUUAGGUAUUAAUAAUGAGUUAUCCUUCCUAUGAAAGAAGUUACUCUCUGUUUUACUUCUAUAUUCUUAUCAUGUUUUUUUCUUUUUGUACAUUGUUUAUUUAUUUUUAUGCAUAGGUAUAGUUACUAUUUAGUCCUCAUUGACAGGUUAUUAAUUCUUGAGUUCUUGGAUUUUCACUUUCUUAAUUAAUUUUCUCUUGAGUUA